CCGACGGUGAGAGGCGAAAGCUGGGGGAGCAAACCGGAUUAGAUACCCGGGUAGUCCCAGCUGUAAACGAUGCGCGUUAGGUGUGUCAGUGACCACGUGUCACUGAUGUGCCGAAGGGAAACCGUGAAACGCGCCGCCUGGGGAGUACGGUCGCGAGGCUGAAACUUAAAGGAAUUGGCGGGGAGCACCACAACGGGUGGAGCCUGCGGUUUAAUCGGACUCAACGCCGGAAAUCUCACCGGAUAAG
rnacentral:rRNA from 1 species